rnacentral:rRNA from 1 species
AUUGAACGCUGGCGGCAUGCUUUACACAUGCAAGUCGAACGGCAGCACGGGCUUCGGCCUGGUGGCGAGUGGCGAACGGGUGAGUAAUAUAUCGGAACGUACCCAGAAGUGGGGGAUAACGUAGCGAAAGUUACGCUAAUACCGCAUACGAUCUAUGGAUGAAAGCAGGGGACCGCAAGGCCUUGUGCUCCUGGAGCGGCCGAUAUCUGAUUAGCUAGUUGGUGAGGUAAAGGCUCACCAAGGCGACGAUCAGUAGCUGGUCUGAGAGGACGACUAGCCACACUGGAACUGAGACACGGUCCAGACUCCUACGGGAGGCAGCAGUGGGGAAUUUUGGACAAUGGGCGCAAGCCUGAUCCAGCAAUGCCGCGUGAGUGAAGAAGGCCUUCGGGUUGUAAAGCUCUUUUGUCAGGGAAGAAACGGUAGAGGCUAAUAUCCUUUGCUAAUGACGGUACCUGAAGAAUAAGCACCGGCUAACUACGUG